GUGAGGAGAGGAGCAAUGCAAAUGAUGGGAGCCGUACAUACGCUGUGCGACAGCAGCUGAGGAUGCUGGCAGCCUGGGGAGUUAGCAGGAUCAUGCCCUCAUGCCGGUGGGAUUAGAAAGAGGAAGGUCAGACGGCACCCGGAUGAUAAAGCUCAGUUAAUCGUUAAUUGCAUGAGUAAACUACGGCACCGUGAGGGAAAGGCGCUCCACCAUGCUGGAAGAGACUCACCCAGCUCUCCACUUUCGUCUUCGCAUCUAGGCUCAGAGGGCCAGCAGGGAAAGAGUGCCCAAAGAGAGAGAAAAAGGCUGUUGCAUUUUCUAGAUAAAGAGGAAGGAAACCUGACACCUUUGACGAAACCAGUGUAGAAGUUUAGAGCGAAGGUUGGCAGGGAGAGGACAGAAAAGGAGUCGCUCCUCCGAGGGGAAAUGCGUGGAGAACAAUGGGGCUGACCGGCGAGCGGGGAGAAGGCGGCGGAGAGGUGCAGAGAAGAAGCUGCGAAAGAAGCAGGGGGGAGGAGGAGGGAGGGGACGUCGCGAGUGCCAGGAGAGAGACUGAUCACUUAUUUCUGCAAGAAAAGUCCUAUGAGUAAAACAGAAGAGAAACACCAGAAGUGAUGUGAGAUUUCAAGAAGUUCAGGGCCUAUGCUGGAAACAGAAUUCUUGACCAAACAGACAGUUUCUUGAAAAAGCAUUUGAUAAUGUUGUACCUUUACCUUCGUUGAACACUUCUGGCCUGAAUCCAUUAAGGACCUCAUCAAAAGAUCCUCUACGUGUCUACAUCGCAGAGCCUCCAAGUAAAGACAGGAACCCAGAAUCUUUUUUCCUCCGAGCUGUGGGCCCUAACCUUACGGCUACAAAUUCAUGCUGCUACCUGCUCUCCUGCUCCCUCUACCCCAAGACUUAUUUGGGGUGGAACAGCCCCCACAAGAAGCAAUGAGAGCAGUCACUCUCCAGAGAAGCCUGCGAAUGGCCAGGGCAGGCAGGCCUCUCUCCUUGGUGCUCUCCAUAACCUCUCCCACCGGUCCCCAGCUCUGCAGCUGCUUUGAGGCUUUGCUGAGUGGUGGCUUUGAAUCCCACCAGGGCAGAGCAUGAACUAGACUCUGGGUCCUUACAUCACUAGCAAAAUUCAUGAUAAAAGUGGUCACCAUCUCUUCUUCCUCUGGUCACAUACAGAAAACUUCAUUGCUGCAUUUUUGGGGAGGUCUCAAGCUGGAACGCACCAUUGGGGCAGGACCCGCCCCUUCUCUCUCAGGAAAGAAUGCUGAUGGCCAGCCCGAAUUUGGGGUUCCAAAAAAGGAUUUAGAUGCUAGACUGAUACCAGCCAAGACUUGAACACUUCUUAGAGCAGCACAUCAGAUAAGCCAGGGAUUUUAAUACAUCCUCCGUAGCUGAAAUGGCAUUUUGAACAUAUCUUUGAAAAAUCAGAGUCUUGCCCAUGCUCCUUUGGGGCUGUGAGGUGCUGCACCUGCACAGAAAAUGCAGCUUGGGGCAGGGUUCUUGCUAGAAACAUCCUGACAGAAUAGCAUAGGGCCUGUACUGACAGCUGGGCAGGAGCAGGAUUUUGGCUAUGAUAUUGGCAGAGAGGAAUCACGGAGAAAGCACAAAUGAACAAAACAUGCACUGGGAACAGCAAAUUUCCUUCACCAGCACAGUCCUGAUAGAACAAGAAAUGAUGAGGGGACACAAAAAUAAUGAAGAAAUAAAAGAUGCGUUAAAAUAACUGCACACUGGGAACCUUUGCAGCCCUAAGGAUGCUGCCACGCUGAGCAUAUUUAUAGCAAGACCUUCCUGACAUUUUGAAUUUGAUCUAAUAAAAUAUCUGGCUUGUUAAAUGUCUAAGUUUUGUGACUGGAAUGUAUUUUGUCUCAUAAUAAAGCAUGCAUACCCAGAGUGA